AAGUCGUAACAAGGUUUCCGUAGGUGAACCUGCGGAAGGAUCAUUACAAACGAGAGCGUGAACAUGUUGAAAUGUCGUGUGUGUGGGAGUGGAGUGGAGAGGGAGAGAGAGGAGGAUGCGAUGCUUCACUCCCCGCACACACUAAUAUCACAUUAGUCAUUGCUAAGAUAACCAACAACACAACACAUACAACUUAUAACAAUGGAUCUCUAGGCUCUU
rnacentral:misc_RNA from 1 species